rnacentral:lncRNA from 1 species
GCUUAGGGGUCAGGAGAAGUGACUUUUAGUUCUCCCUACUAACAAACUUUGAUCCUGAACAAGUCAGUAACCUUGACAAACAAAAAACAAAAAAAUUAUUUUUUCUUCUAACAAAUGAGGCAAAAUUAGGUAAUUCUGGUUUUUUGUUUGUUUGUUUGUUUUUGAGACGGAGUUUCGUUCUUGUUGCCCAGUCUGGAGUGCAAUGGUGCAAUCUCAGCUACCUGCAACCUCCGCCUCCCGGGUUCAAGCAUUUCUCUGCCUCAGUAGCUGGGAUUACAGUCAUAGGCCACCACGCAUGGCUACUUUUAGUAUUUUUAGUAGAGACGGGGAUUUGCCAUGUUGGUCAGGCUGGUCUCGAAUUCCUGACCUCAGGUGAUCCACCCUCCUCGGCCUCCCAAAGUGCAGGAUUACAGGAGAGAGCCACCGCGCUAGGCCAAAAUUAUGUAAUUCUUGAAGAUCCUUCCUGAGUGCAAGAUCAAGUUAGGACAGAGGAACAGCAAAUAACAAGAUGGGGUGAUGGACAUGACUGGAGGGCAGUUCGAAACCUAAAGAGGAUGAACGCAGAACGGGCAACAGAGUCCGUAUGUCGGGCGGGCGACUGCACCCGCCCUUUCCUACCCAGGUAGGGCCGCGCCCUAGCACAUGGGCGUAAACACGCUCAACCAGAGAACUGCCCCUCCCGCAAGGCUCAGCGCUCGGACCGCGCAAGCGCACAUGCCCUCCUCCGCGGCCCCUACAAACAGGGCAACGCACAGGGCGUAGCCCGCUCCCUACAGAGGCUGCGCCUUAGAGGAACUGGCGUAGCGUCCUGGUAGACAUGCUGCAGCCCCGCCGUCCCCGGCUUCUCCGUGAGGUCCCCGGGACUCCUCGCCACCACCUGGCACUGGCCCCCGGCUGCCUGCUCCUGGAGUCGCGCGGGGCCCCCUCUCCGUCCCUGCCCAACCCGCGGAGGCUUACCUCACUCUCUCUUCGGGUUGCAUUCGCCAUAAGAGAGCCGGUAGACCCCUGAAAUCCCGGGACCGCCUCCCACGCAAAACACGGAGUCUAGCUCUGUCACCAGGCUGGAGCACAGUGGCAUGAUCUCGACUCACUGCAACCUCCACUGAAGAAGGAAUUCAUGAAUUUUACAAGUAUAAUCAAAGACCACCAAGAAAUUUUUACUUUUUCCUUCAAAAGCUAAGUGUAGUGUAGCACCCCCUGCCCAUAGUCUAAGUUACAGAAGAAUACUAACUGCCUGUUUUUCUUUCUGUGUUGUGAGCCUUAUCUGUUCUCACCAGUUUCACAUUCCUUGAGGCUCAGUGAGUUCCUGCGCACCUCCCUAGCACAGCUGCAAAGUUACAAGGUUGAUAUGCAUAUGUUACAGAAACAUAGUUUCCCAAGGAUGUGGAACAUGUAGUAUAGAUAAAUGUAAAAGACUGAUCAACUGCCUUUGUUCUCGCUUGUGUAAGUAGACUUCAUGAAUCACAUAGCUCCCGGCCACUGACUGCUUAAAAGGUGGCUGCAUUCUUUCUCCAGGGCUCAGACUUUCCUGGACGCUAGUCCUACUGAGCCAGGUGAUCCCCUUAAUAAAGGCUUUCCUGAACUCUC